UCUUAUUCUGCGUGUUUUCGAUAUUAUAUCGUGCAAAUGGUGGCUUUCGCGAUGUUUUGUUCAAUGUUUCUUGAAAAUUAAUCAAUCUUAUAAUACGUCGUGCGUUGUAGAAAUAAAGAUAAUAUUUGCUGUUUAUUUCUGAACUUGAAAAAGUUUAUCGUCGACAUGGUGAAGCUUCAUAAGAAAUUUUUCGCGGGUGACAAGGUUUUUGCAAAAGUUCGAGGUUAUCCACCGUGGCCAGCAAAAGUUGAGAAAGUUAUUGAUCCUAAUUCCAAAAAUACAAAAUAUAGUGUUUACUUUUAUGGUACAGCAGAAACUGCUGUAUGUAAAGUGGAAGAGUUAUAUACCUAUAUAGAGAAUAAAGCAAAAUUUGGCAAGCCAAUUAGAAGAAAGUUUUUUCAUGAAGGUUUAUUACAAUUAGAGCAAGAGCUUAAAAAUGAUAGAAAUAAAGCAUCGAAUCUUGCUGACCUCAAAGAAGCUGGAAUUGGUGAAGAAGCAGGAAAAGAAGGUGAUACAAAUUUACCAACAGUUAGUGCUACAGAUAGUGAUAUGGAAUCUGGAUCUCUUGUUAUAGAUGAGGAGGAGAAAAAGAAAUCUUUGAAAAGGAGGACUCUUUCUGCUACUAAUCCUGAUACACCUGAAGUAAAAAAAAGACGCGGAAAAGCAAAGUCUCUAUCUGCAUCUACAAGUGAUUCAGCAAAACAGGAUACUGCAUUGGAUUCUCAAGGAGAGGAGUCACCAAAAGAAGUUGUAAGUCGUAGCGGUAGAAAAAUUAAACCUAAGCGAUUUGCUGACUUCUCAAGCUCGGAAGAAACAGACACUGCAACAGAUAAAAAUGAACAUGGAAGAGGCCGUCCUAAAGUUAAAAUUGAAGAUUCUAGCGACCAAGUAACACCUAGCGUAAUGCAUAAAAAGAGAGUUACAUUGGAAAAAAAAAAUAAUUUAGGUGAAACACCCAUAUUGGAAGGAACUGUGGUUUCUGGUACAGCAUCUUCAGACGCGCCAGGACGAUUCCUUUUGGCGUUAACAUUUGCCGGUGAAUAUGUAGGAAUUAAGUUAGACAUGGAUAAGCCAAAAUCCUUCGAAAGUGAAAAGGCUCGAGCACAAUGGGAGUGGUCUACUGCUAGAAAUGCUAUGAAGUUGAAAGCACAAUUAGAAAGUGGUGAAAUUUUACCGGAACAAGUAAAAGAUUGUUUGGAUUUUAAUGUACACGUCCCAGAUGAAGAAAAGCGUUUAUUAGCGAAAGAUGGAGCACUUCAUCGAAAAACAAAUAAACUAAGAUGGCUUCGUAUAGAAGCACAACUUCUACAGUUGGAUGCUCAAAUUAAAUCUAACUUGGGAUUAGAUCGAGCAAAUCCGGAUAAGUGUUUGCAAGCAAUGGAUGAUAUGUUAUCACUUCCAAUUGAUCCUUUGAUGUUGAAAAAACAUCCACACAUUGUGGAAACUGUUAAAAGGUUGCGGCGAUAUAUCGGUAAUUUGACUGAUUGGAAAUUAAGCGAAGAAGAAGAGGCAAUUUUUAAACAAAAAGCAGAACAAAUUAGACAAAAGUCUGAACACAUAUACAACAAGUUUAAGAUAAGGAUAUUAUAUUUUUCCUUUCACCGAACAAUAUACAGGCUAUGUUUACCAUACCCGAAGGGCAAUCGUUUUGGCAAUCAUUUUCGGACCAAGUUGUCCAUUUCAAAGAGUUAACAAAGGAUAUGCCCGAAGAAAAAGUAUUUUCUUUAAUGUCUGACCCUGCUUGUCCAGAUGCAAUCAUAUCAGAAGACUCACCUGUAGAUGAAAGCGGUAGUCAACCAGAUACAGAUGCACCUGUUGAAGUUAAAUCAG
rnacentral:misc_RNA from 1 species